rnacentral:rRNA from 1 species
GGCUAAUUGGUUCCCGUCAAAAGAAAAGGCUAAUUGGUUAACUGCUUCACGUCUCUACAUCCUCUGUUCUAAAUGAGAAAGUAGAUUCCCUUUCCCUUUCCUUGCUCUAUCGUGGUAGUCUUGGAAGCUUGGUUGUAUACCAAAUCGAGUGGCAUGCCCAGCACCGAAGCUUUGAAGAAGAUGCUCUCGGAGGCCAGCUCUGAGCAAGGAGGGGACGGGCUUUCAAGCCGCGGAUCUUGAGCCGCCUACCGGCUAGGUCGCAUCUUGCAGAUUCUGAUCUGGUGAGGCAGGCCACGGGAGAAUCUGAGAGAUAGCUUGUUGUUAGCUCUACUCUCCUACUCAUCGUGCCAGGAAUGAGAGAUUUGUUGUCAGGUUGAUUGACCAUCUUCUCUGUCAUCGUUGAGGCGGAGCAGUAUGGGCCGAGAGUCUGCAGGUUGAGGCGAGCUAUGGGCUUCCUCAUUGCUGGUGCUGUCAGCUUCCACCUAUGUCUUAGAGUCUUGUUUUUCUUGAAAAGUGGUGAUGUCAUAUCUUAGAAGAAGUUUGAUGACUGCCUGAUUUGCUUAGUUUCCAUGCGUCAUUCCAGAGAGGCAACUCAGAAGGUUUGGUCGGUGUCGAGACACGUUGUCACCGCUUUGGCUGAUUUACGCACGGAGAAAGCAUACGGAGGAACUUUGUCCAGUGCAACGCUCUCUGACGCCUUCCGAUCCUGCCCUAAUUGCAUCCAUCACACUUUGUUAUGGUGUUUGUGAUGCUCUCAGACGCCAUCCAUCAUGCCAUUAUUGCAUCCAUCCCACUUUGUUAUGUUGUUCAGCCUCACAUGGAGCAAGAUGGAUGGAUUGUGCCCGAUCCGUGUCCUUGUAGUCCAUGCCAAAAAAAAAAAAGAUUUGGCUUCCUGGGCGUUGCUGGACGUGGCCAACUGGGUGUCUUUAUUUGCUAGUGUUAGCCGAUUGAGUCCGUGUGUAAAUUUGCGUGCACGCGUUCCAAUUUGUAAUAAUUGUGUGCAGUAGAAUCCAUAUCAUGUACUCUCUUUAUUUGGUGUACUUUCUUUAUUUGGCAGGUAUUUGUGGUUGUCUCGGACACAUAAUUGAAAAGGCAUGUUUAGGAGGCGUGUCAGCCAUGCGUGGCAAACAAAUUAUUUGUACCUAGCAAUAGUUGUAUGUAACUUUGUAAUCCUUUAAAUCUCAGCCGUUGCCUUUUAAUAUUAACGGUGGAGAUAAUUUAAUCUAUGUGGAUUAACG